rnacentral:snRNA from 1 species
GGAUGUGAGGGUGAUCUAACUAUAACAUAUGUCAUCCCAUUGAUCACCAGGGUUGAUUCAGCUGAUCUGGCUAGCCAGGUGAAUGUCCCCUCCCCCCCUCACCACUCCAUGUGUGUCCCUCCUGAAGCUGCAUCAUCACUCGAAGAGGAUGACUAUCCCUUGUCGAGGAGGACCGUUCUUUGCUCAAAGGCAUAUGAAUAGCUGUGCUUCUCUGCUCGAACCUCCAAACGAGCUCUCAAAAUUAAUCCUAUGCCCACUAUAACUGUUGAUGGAAUUUGGGUAAAAAACAUGUGACCAAAGUUGCAAUUUUACUUCUGAGUUUUGGUUUACUU